rnacentral:rRNA from 1 species
AUCGAUAAUCCGCGUUAANUUUCACUUCAAUCCAAAAUUUAUAUACCUCCAUCUUAAGAUUUUAUUUAAAACAUUUCUCUAAAAAAUAAAUAAAAAGUUAGGUCAAGGUAUAAUUUACAUUAAAGAAUUAAAUGAAUUACAUUAAAUAUAAUUUAAAGACUAUAAAUUUAUAUAUUUAUAUAAAUAAGGAUUUAAAAGCAAUAUUUCAAUAAUAUUAAAAUAUGAUAAAGAUAAUAAAUGUGUACACAUCGCCC